rnacentral:tRNA from 1 species
GGGCCGCUAGCUCAGGUGGUCAGAGCGCGUCCCUGAUAAGGACGAGGUCCAUGGUUCGAGUCCAUGGCGGCCCA